rnacentral:tRNA from 1 species
GGGCCGUUAGCUCAACUGGCAGAGCAGGGCACUCUUAAUGCCAAGGUUACAGGUUCGAGUCCUGUACGGCCCACCA